CACGUAGGGUGCGAGCGUUGUCCGGAAUUACUGGGCGUAAAGAGCUCGUAGGUGGUUUGUCGCGUUGUCCGUGAAAACUCACAGCUUAACUGUGGGCGUGCGGGCGAUACGGGCAGACUGGAGUACUGCAGGGGAGACUGGAAUUCCUGGUGUAGCGGUGGAAUGCGCAGAUAUCAGGAGGAACACCGGUGGCGAAGGCGGGUCUCUGGGCAGUAACUGACGCUGAGGAGCGAAAGCGUGGGGAGCGAACAGG
rnacentral:rRNA from 1 species